GCGGAGGAAAAGAAACCAACAGGGAUUGCCCCAGUAACGGCGAGUGAAGCGGCAACAGCUCAAAUUUGAAAUCUGGCCCCUCAAGGUCCGAGUUGUAAUUUGUAGAGGAUGCUUUUGGUGAGGUGCCGCCCGAGUUCCCUGGAACGGGACGCCACAGAGGGUGAGAGCCCCGUCUGGCUGGCCACCGAGCCUCUGUAAAGCUCCUUCGACGAGUCGAGUAGUUUGGGAAUGCUGCUCAAAAUGGGAGGUAUAUGUCUUCUAAAGCUAAAUAUUGGCCAGAGACCGAUAGCGCACAAGUAGAGUGAUCGAAAGAUGAAAAGCACCUUGAAAAGAGGGUUAAAUAGUACGUGAAAUUGUUGAAAGGGAAGCGCUUGUGACCAGACUUGGGCGCGGCGGAUCAUCCGGGGUUCUCCCCGGUGCACUUCGCCGUGUUCAGGCCAGCAUCAGUUCGUCGCGGGGGAAAAAGGCUUCGGGAACGUGGCUCCUCCGGGAGUGUUAUAGCCCGUUGCAUAAUACCCUGCGGUGGACUGAGGAC
rnacentral:rRNA from 2 species